UAGUCAUAUGCUUGUCUCAAAGAUUAAGCCAUGCAUGUCUAAGCACAUGCCUUAAUACGGUGAAGCCGCGAAUAGCUCAUUACAACAGCCACCGUUUACUAGAAUAUAGUUAUCCUACUUGGAUAACUGUGGCAAUUCUAGAGCUAAUACAUGCAAAAAAGCUCUGCCCGUAAGGAACGAGCGCAUUUAUUAGAAUAAAAACCAAUCGGGUUUCGGCCCGUAAUUUGGUGAAUCUGAAUAACUUUGCCAAUCGCACAGUCCUAGUACUGGCGAUGUAUCUUUCAAGUGUCUGCCUUAUCAACUUUCGAUGGUAGGUUAUACGCCUACCAUGGUAGUAACGGGUAACGGAGAAUAAGGGUUCGACUCCGGAGAGGGAGCCUGAGAAACGGCUACCACAUCCAAGGAAGGCAGCAGGCGCGCAAAUUACCCACUUCCAGAACGGAGAGGUAGUGACGAAAAAUAACGAGACAGUCCUCUUCGAGGUCUGUCAUCGGAAUGGGUACAAUUUAAAUCCUUUAACGAGGAUCUAUUG
rnacentral:rRNA from 1 species